rfam:Flavobacterium haoranii strain DSM 22807 genome assembly, contig: Ga0131240_105
GGGGUCGACUGGUUUUGACAGCGAGUGAAAUUGAUUAGUAAGCACGUCGAGCCAAGUAUGGUAGGCUCGUAAAUAUCUGCUAUACGAACUUUAAACGGCGAAAAUAAUUACGCUUUAGCUGCUUAAUCUGAAUUAUAGUAAGAUUUGCCUAGUUCCUACGAGGUAGGAAAGCUAGAUUCUCCUCAAAAGCCUUGGUUUAUGGCGUUUGGUUUUGGGGAACCGUAAAAGUAAACCUAGAAGUGGUAAAGCUUUAAAUCCACUUUGACACUUGUAAAGCUAAGCUAAAAGUGACGGUUUUCAGUCUAGCUUUUAGUCGAAAAUCUAAGUGAAAACUAAGCGUGUAGAAAGCUCUUCGAUUGCUUGUUUGGACCCGAGUUCGAUUCUCGGCGACUCCACUA